GGUANAACGCUUGGCGGCGUGCCUUACACAUGCCAAGGUCGAACGGUGAAGCAGGAGCUUGCUCUUGUGGAUCAGUGGCGAACGGGUGAGUAACACGUGAGCAACCUGCCCCUGACUCUGGGAUAAGCGCUGGAAACGGCGUCUAAUACUGGAUAUGUGACGUGACCGCAUGGUCUGCGUUUGGAAAGAUUUUUCGGUUGGGGAUGGGCUCGCGGCCUAUCAGCUUGUUGGUGAGGUAAUGGCUCACCAAGGCGUCGACGGGUAGCCGGCCUGAGAGGGUGACCGGCCACACUGGGACUGAGACACGGCCCAGACUCCUACGGGAGGCAGCAGUGGGGAAUAUUGCACAAUGGGCGAAAGCCUGAUGCAGCAACGCCGCGUGAGGGAUGACGGCCUUCGGGUUGUAAACCUCUUUUAGCAGGGAAGAAGCGAAAGUGACGGUACCUGCAGAAAAAGCGCCGGCUAACUACGUGCCAGCAGCCGCGGUAAUACGUAGGGCGCAAGCGUUAUCCGGAAUUAUUGGGCGUAAAGAGCUCGUAGGCGGUUUGUCGCGUCUGCUGUGAAAUCCCGAGGCUCAACCUCGGGCCUGCAGUGGGUACGGGCAGACUAGAGUGCGGUAGGGGAGAUUGGAAUUCCUGGUGUAGCGGUGGAAUGCGCAGAUAUCAGGAGGAACACCGAUGGCGAAGGCAGAUCUCUGGGCCGUAACUGACGCUGAGGAGCGAAAGGGUGGGGAGCAA
rnacentral:rRNA from 1 species